CACCACCACACCUCCACCUACAUCCACACCUCCACCUACAUCCACACCUCCACCUACAUCCACCUCUGCUCCUGGUUCCACCUCCAUCACUCUUCCUCCAUCACUCUCUCCUCCUGUUAUCUCUGCAUUAUCAUGUGUUGGAUCAGUCUGUGUUGUGGUUCUACUGGUGUUGGUGGUUCUGCUGAGAAAACGAUGUGUUCACAGGAAACCAGAAGCAGAUAAAGAAGAACCUGAAGAAGAUGCCAUCCCCAAUGACAUCACAUACAGUGACAUCAAAAUAUUAAAUAAUCGACAAAAGCCAAUCAAGGAAAGAAGAGACAGUGAUCCAGCUACAGUUUACUCAGCAGUGAGAACUGAAGACGUCACUUGUGGAAAAAUCCUCAUCAAAGAAGAAGAAAUCAAAUCUGGGAGAGACUGAUUCAGCUGUGAUCUACUCAGCAGUGAGAACUGAAGACGUCAGUCAUGGACAAACACCCAUCAGAACAAGGAGGCCCAGACAUUAAACCAGAGCCAGACGUCGUCUACUCUUCACUGAAGUAGUCCACCAGUCCAACCACUGACGUCCAGCUACUGGUCUCUAACUGGUCCCCCCAGCACCUCAGACCAGAGGACAUCCACAUGUUAGAGAAUUUUAUAUGUUUUAUGUCUUUUUUAUCACUGAAUUAGACUCUGAUGACCCAGAACUACUUACUGGGAGUCAGUUCAUUGACUUGAUGUUUGUUGGCUGUUGUUCCCACAGCAGUUUCUCUGCAGGAUUAAUAAACUUUUGGUCUCAGA